rnacentral:lncRNA from 1 species
ACUUCGUUUCCUAAGCCAAGAAGAAAGUUGGGAUCUCUUUUGUAGGAAACUACUUGAUGUUCAAGCAAUGACCUCCACAAUGGAGAGGCUAGCUAAGGAUAUGGUGGACAAGUGUGGAGGCUUACCUCUUGCAAUUGUUGUAUUGAGUGGACUACUUUCGCAUAAAAGGGGGCUAGGCGAAUGGCAAAAGGUGAAAGACCGCCUUUGGAAGAACAUUGAAGAUGACUCUAUUGAAAUCUUCUACGUACUAUCAUUAAGCUACAAUGAUUUGUCAACUGCGCUCAAGCAGUGUUUUCUGUACUUUGGUAUUUUUCCAGAAGAUCAAGUGCUCGAGGCUGAAACCAUAAUACGAUUGUGGAUGGCCGAGGGUUUCAUACCAAGAGGAGAAGAAAGAAUGGAGGAUGUCGCUGAAGGCUUCUUGAAUGAGCUAAUAAGACGAAGCUUGGUUCAAGUGGCUCGAACAUUUUGGGAAAAAGUUACUGAAUGUAAGGUUCAUGAUUUACUUCGUGAUCUUGCCAUACAAAAGGCAUUGGAGGUAAACUUCUUUGACAUUUAUGAUCCAAGAAACCACUCCAUAUCCUCCUUAUGUAUCAGACAUGCCAUUCAUGAUAAAGGAGAAAAGUACCUCUCACUUGAUCUUUCUAACUUAAAGUUGAGGUCAAUUAUGUUCUUCGAUCCAGAUUUUCGGAACAUGAAUCUUAUAAACUUCAGUAGUGUGUUCCAACAUAUAUAUGUGUUGUACUUGGAUACUCUUGGUGGCACUGUACCUUAUGCCAUAGGAAGUUUGUACCGCCUCAAGUUCUUAAGCUUGAGAGGUAUUGGUAAUCUUCCCUCCUCCAUUGGCAACCUCAAGAAUUUACAGACACUUUGUGUCAAAAGUGAAUUUAGACAUUUGUGCCAACUACCCCCUGAGACAGCUGACCUAAUAAAUCUAAGGCAUUUAGUUGCUCCGUAUUCUGAACCUCUGGUACGUAUAAGCAAACUCACUAGUCUUCAAAUUCUUAAAGACAUCUCUUGUGAUCAGUGGAAAGAUGUUGACCCUGUUGAUUUAGUCAAUCUCCUAGAAUUAAGCAUGAUUGAUAUUACCAAAUCUUACUCCCUAAACAACAUUAGCAGAUUGAAAAACCUUAGCACUCUCAAAUUGUUUUGUAGAGGUGGUCAAUCAUUCCCAGACCUUGAAUUUCUUAUUAUUGUGAAAAGCUCCAGAAAUUGUGGUUAGAUGGGAGAAUAGAGAAACUGCCUCUGUUACCAAAUUCCAUCACAAUGAUGGUUCUUUUGGACUCAAAACUCAUGGAAGAUCCGAUGCCUAUUUUGGGAAUGUUGCCAAACCUAAGAAACUCGAAUUUCUUAGAGCUUAUCAAGGAAAGAGAUAUUCUGCAGUGAUAAUAGCUUCCGUCAACUCGAGUUCCUUAGUCUUGCUUGUCUUGAGAACCUAGACACAUGGCAUUUAGCCACAAGUGCCAUGCUUCUGAUUAAAGGUCUUCGUAUUGAUCACUGUAAAAAGCUGAACAAGAUUCCCCAGAGAAUGAAGGACGUGAAGCUUUUCAAGCAUACAUGAAGUCUUAUUUCAUAAAUAGUGUGUUAAUAAUAUUUCGGUUAAACAGGAGAAGAAGCUGUCACUUGAAGACAUUUUUGGUCAGUUGGAGUUUGUUCGUCUUUGUUAAUCUUCGGGACUUGGAGAGUUGGCAUUCAGCUACAAGUGCCAUGCUUGUUAUUAAAGGUUUGGGUAGACAUGAGUGUUUGAAGUUGCAUCAGAUUCCAAAAAGAAUGAAAAGUAUGCUGUGUAUUUGCAUCCAGAUACUGAUUGUGAGCUUUGGAUGGAUUUUUGCACAAAGCAUUAUAGGAUUUGCAUUGUCGCUACCCUGUUUCGAGGCCUAAGUAGACCGUGUAUGGAGGAAGAUGUCAAGUGUCUCGGUUUAUUUGAGAGCAAAGUAGCAAUUGUCUUUACUUUUACGGCUUAAUUAGGACCAAUUGAUCACUUCUUUUGGAAUAUAUUAAAGACUAUUUCCAUUAUGUUUAUACAUUUAGGACUAAAUGAACCAAAGCUCGUUUAUUAAGGAGCAUUUUUAUAAUUUUUCUUCACGAUUGCAUAGCAAAGGAGUUCAUUUAUCUAACUAGCUUUAGUACCUAAUUUUGGGGUUUUCUGAUUCUGUACACACAAGCUCAAAAAUCCGAUGCCUCAUUGUUUCUAUUUUAGACAGAUUCUAUAAAACAAACUAACGAAAGACGCCACUUUUAAUGCAAAAGUAGAGAUGCAAUGCGUACCAAAAUAAUCCAAUUACUGCAUCAUGAAUGACAGAUGAUGCCCUCUUACGUCUACUUAAAUGCAGCCACAUUCAUUCCAUGCUAGUAAAUAAGAUCAACAUUGCAUCAUCAAUGACAGAAACAACACCAAAUACCAUUACUGAGUAACAAAACCGAAAAACAGACGAUGACACAUCAGAUUUUCACAAAAGGCAGUUGACAAAGUACAGAUUUUGGUUCAUAAAUUCAAGUAACAUCAAAUCACAAUGCACGUUAUCUCAAGGCAAUAAAUGUGUCAUUUAACUUGACCUCAUUUCACAUUUAUGACCUUCAACUUUGGAUGUGGUAAACAUUUAAACUUGUAUAAAGUUAAAUAAGUAGACACAUAAUACGCAUAGGACACCACGUAGGACGCAAACUGUCAUGUAGGAUGCCACAUAGGACAUGUGUGUUUAUUUGUUCAACUUAUACAAGUUUAAACGUCUACUUGUCCACACCCAAAGUUAGAGGAAUAAAUAUGAAAUGAGAUCAAAUUAAAGGGCAUAUUUGUGCAUGGAAAAAUCUUUUUGGCCAGAGAAUACAUCUCAACUAUGCUUUUUUCACAGAGAAUACAUCAAUUUCACCACAAUAAUUCGUUGGGCAUAUCAAUUAGACGCCAAAACCCAAUAAAAUACGCCUAAAACGAAAACCCACAAUUUUCAAAAGUUGUGAUAUCACAAUUCUUACCUCAAAUAGUUGUGAAAUGGAGGUUUCUAAGAAGAAAUCUCAUAAUCUCAAUUUUUCUCCACUUCAAUCUUCUCUUCUUCUGGCCCCAAAGUAUUUGGAACCAAUAUGAAAUUUGGGUCAUUGUUAUUUCUAAUUUGUUUCGAUUGUUAAAUAUAAAAUUUUACUCCCUCUGUCCCAAUUUAUAUGACUUACUUUCCUUUUUAGUCAGUCCCAAAAAGAAUGACACAUUUCUAUUUUAAGUAACAAUUUGCCUAUAAAAUGUCUUUUUUACCCUUAAUGAAAUGAUUUACAACCACACAAAUUUCUAUCAUUCAUUUUGGACCACAAGUUUUAAAAUUCUUUCCAUUUUUCUUAAAGUUUGUGCCAAAUCAAAGUACAUCAUAUAAAAUGGGACGGAGGGAGUAUAAUUUUCUUAUAUGUAAAGAUGAAUAUCUUGGUAAAAAACUAUAAUUUUUUCUCAAGUGGCCUAAAGAAGUAAUUCACCCCAAUUCAUCCUUGUGAAACAAUAAAAAGUUUAAUUUAUGUCAUGACUCAUGACUAAUUUGGUGGGAUUGCCACAUUGCUUUAAUUUUUUUCUCAUUAUAUCUUUGUUAGUUACUUAAUUAUAAUACAUAAACAUAAACUUAACUUGGCUUCAGCUAGCAAUUAUGACUUUUAAUUUUAGGUGUGCACAAGUAAACAUUUAACUUAUCUAAAAUUGAACAAAUAAGCAAUUGGGUGGGUUGGAUUAAAUUUGGGCGGGUCAUAAGGGUUAAGACAAUAAUUGGGUCAAGACCCAACCCAACCCAACCCAAUUUUUACUAAACUAAAUUGUUUUAUUAUUCUUUUAAACUAUUUUAGUACUAAUAAAAUUAUUAUUUUUCUUUAUUAUGACUUUAUAUAACAUAUCAAAUUGAAAAAAAAAGUUUUUAAAAAACAUUUUGACAAGAAUUGUCAUGAGCCAAUUCAUGUUACAUAUCAACCCAAUUUUUAAUGGGUUGAGUGGAUUUGGUUAAAAUAGGUUCAGCUAAUGACUGGGCGGGUCAAAAACCAACCCAAACUUAACCAAAUUGAGCGAAUUGGGUUAGAUUACAUUUGAAGAGCAUGCGAUGUAAUAUAAGUGAUAAGUGAUAAUCUCUCUUAAAUGAUGAUAAUGAAUUCUGCCACUUUUCGAUAUAGUUGUUGAAAACUGUUGUUCGGUUUUUGUUCCCUAUAAAUGUGUUAAACGACACUAAGACUAAUGCGUAAAUAUGCCUUUUAACUUGAUCUCACCUCACAUUUAUGUCCUUCAACUUAGGGUGUGCACAAAUAGAAAAUUAAUCUUAUAUAAAGUUGAACAAAUAGACAAACGCAUUCCACGUGACAUCUUGCACGGCAAUUUGUGUGUUAUGUGUAUUUGAUCUCUUCACCAUUUGCUUCAACUCCAUCAUCAACAUAAUCUUUAUAGAAUAAUAUCAAUUGGUGUAGAAAGAAUUUGAUUGGUUAGAAUAAGAAGAUACUUCUAUUGAAAUGUACCUUUCGCAUUGCUUGCAUCUUUGUCCUUUUAAGACAAUGGGAACUGUAAUGUCCUUGUCUAAUAAUUGAUUUAUUUUUUUCAAAAAACCACAUGGUCAUAUUUCGUUUUUUCUAAACUUUAUUCACAUUAGUGGACCCUUUGAACACAUUAUUUGAGGUCUUACUUUUAUGUCUAUUGCUUCUGAGGGUAUAAUAUUAUCUCUUCUCCAUUUUCCAACUUGUAUUCCAAUAUACAACUUCCUCUUUUUUUCAAUCGAAAGUAGUUAUUCCUAAAAAUGGCCGAUGCCUUUCUGUCAUAUGCAGUUCAAAAAUUGGGUGAUUUCCUAAUACAGAAAGUUUCCCUGCUUACAACUCUCAUAGAUGAAGUUAGAUUGCUGAGAAAUGAGCUACUCUUCAUACAGUCUUUCCUCAAAGAUGCAGAACUAAAGCAAUGUGGAGAUCAAAGAAUUCAACAAUGGGUGUUUGAGAUCAACUCUAUUGCUAAUGACGCUGUUGCUAUACUCGAGACUUAUAGCUUCGAGGUUGCUAACGGUAAUGAUGAUGGAUUUUCUAGUCGUCUCAAGGCUUGCGCUUGCAUCUGUAGGAAGGAGACCAAACUCUACAAAGUUGCCAAGGAGAUUGAAUCACUCAAGCAACGAAUCAUGGAUAUCUCUCGCAAACGAGAUACUUAUGGUAUUAGAGAUAUCAAUAAUGCAGGAGAAGGUUCAAGUAAUCAGUCUGCCAUGGUUAGAUCAUUGAGGAGAACUACCUCCUAUGUGGAUGAUCAGGAUCACAUUUUUGUUGGAUUUCAGGAUGUUGUAGAAUCAUUGUUAGCUGAACUUCUCAAAGCAGAGCCUCGUCGAAAUGUCAUCUCCAUUUACGGUAUGGGCGGUUUAGGCAAGACCAUACUUGCGAGAAACCUCUACACAAAUCCUAUCAUAGUCUCUAGCUUCCCAACAUGCGCUUGGAUAUGUGUUUCUCAAGAGUAUAACACCAUGGAUCUCCUUAGGAAUAUCAUAAAAUCUAUCAAAGGUUGCACCAAGGAAACUCUAGAUUUGUUGGAGAGGAUGACAGAAAGAGAUCUAGAAAUUUACCUUCGUGAUUUAUGAAAAGAACGCAAAUACCUUGUUGUCGUUGAUGAUGUAUGGCAGAGAGAAGCAUGGGAAAGUUUGAAAAGAGCAUUCCUGGAUAGCAAGAAUGGAAGCAGAGUGAUUAUUACCACUCGCAAAGAGGAUAUUGCUGAAAGAGCAGACAACAGAGGUUUUGUCCAUAGACUUCGUUUCCUGAGCCAAGAAGAAAGUUGGGACCUCUUUUGUAGGAAACUAGUUGAUGUUCGGGCAAUGGUUCCAGUGAUGGAAAGGUUAGCUAGAGAUAUGGUGGACAAGUGUGGAGGCUUACCUCUUGCAAUUGUUGUAUUGAGUGGACUACUUUUGCACAAAAGGGGUCUAGAUGAAUGGCAAAAGGUGAAAGACCACCUUUGGAAGAACAUUAAAGAUGACUCUAUUGAAAUCUCCUACAUACUAUCAUUAAGCUACAACGAUU